rnacentral:rRNA from 1 species
CAGGAUGUGAAUACAAAACUGCCUUGCUUGAAUCUCGGAGGGGGACAGGGAAUUCCCGGUGUAGAGGUGAAAUUCGUAGAUAUCGGGAGGAACACCAGUGGCGAAGGCGCUGUCCUGGACGAUGAUUGACGCUGAGGCGCGAAAGCGUGGGGAGCAAACAG